rnacentral:rRNA from 1 species
CAGCAGCCGCGGUAAUUCCAGCUCUCAAAGUGUAUAUCGUCAUUGCUGCGGUUAAAAAGCUCGUAGUUGGAUCUGCGCCUCAGGACUUGGUCCGCCCACUGGGCGAGAACUGGGCUCCUGGGCUAGUACUGCUGGUUUUCCCUACGUUGCCUUCAUCGGUCGCGUAGGGUGGCUAGCGAGUUUACUUUGAAAAAAUUAGAGUGCUUCACGCGGGCUUAUGUCUGAAUACUCGUGCAUGGAAUAAUAGAAUAGGAUCUCGGUUCUAUUUUGUUGGUUUUCUGAUCUGAGAUAAUGGUUAAGAGGGACGGACGGGGGCAUUCGUAUCGCUGCGUGAGAGGUGAAAUUCUUGGACCGUAGCGAGACGUCCGACUGCGAAAGCAUUUGCCAAGAAUGUCUUCAUUAAUCAAGAACGAAAGUCAGAGGUUCGAAGGCGAUCAGAUACCGCCCUAGUUCUGACCGUAAACGAUACCAACUAGCGUUCCGUCGGUGGUAAAUACGCCUUGACGGGCAGCUUCCCGGAAACGAAAGUCUUUCGGUUCCGGGGGAAGUAUGGUUGCAAAGCUGAAACUUAAAGAAAUUGACGGAAGGGCACCACCAGGAGUGGAGCCUGCG